ACUGCUCUGGACUUUGCCGUGCUGUGCUUGGGCUCAUGCCAUGGCAUUUUGGUCAAGACCAGCUGGUUGAUGUCCACGGGAAAGUUACAGUUCCCCAUGCCUGGAAAGCACCCAGGAUAGUGUGGAGGGCAGAGUCUGCUCUGGGCUUCCACAGAAAGCAUGGGUGCCAUGGGACAAGCAGAGCAGAAAGCACCAGUCUCCUCCUUCUUAUCAGUGGGUUAGUACUCAUCUUUGGAGAAGCAAUGACAGGUGACAAGCACAGGAGGAGACCAAAGUCUCUUUGGUGGAGGUGGGAAGAUGCAGAGAAGAGGUGAGAGGGUGGCUGGGUGGCCUGUGACCCAAAAGGGCUGUGCACUGGUGGGUGCCACCAGGCAGCUCAUGGAGGGUCCUGCAAGUGAGUCAAGGGCAACUUUUGGCACACACAUGGGCUUUGGGAACAAGCCACAGAUGUUUGGAUUUGCUGUUGUACUCCUCCAUGACCUGGAGAGGAAGACCCCAAUGACUGUAAGAAUCGCUUGGAUGAAAUGCACCCUGUGUUUGGGAAAGAGCAGAGGUGUUCUGGCACAUCUCAGCAAGCUCUGAUCACCUCAAACUCUACCCACACUGCAGUGUGCCACCUGUCUGUGCCCCUGCAACCACCACAGGGCUCGUCUCUGGCUUGGGGCAGGAGGGCUGGCCGGGGUGUCCAGGUGCUGCCGUGCACAUGCUGAACUGGCCCAGCCGGCUGCCAGGCAUGCAGUGCAACCCAGGGGAUUAUUUUUUUGGUCACUGGAGCACAAACCCACACCUGGUAGUUUCACUGGCUCAUCCUGGUCAGGGCUCAGCUCUGGGGGAACUCUGUCAAGCACUUUCAUUUUGGCCCCUGUAUAACUGACAGUGGGUGACAGACAGUAACAGGGUGCUUGUGCCUAUGGCCCUCAGGCUGCUCCUGCACACUUCACCCAGGGGAACAGCACACUUAAACACUGCCUGGUCUUAAUAUGACUUAAUUGGUGCUUUCCAGAGCCUGAGUGCAUCAAGAGACCUCAAUGACCACAAGGAGCCUCAGCUGGACCCAGUCACCCUACCCACAUGCCAGGAGUGCUGUUUAAGCUCAUUAUUUAAGCUUAGUCUAGAGCCUUCACUCCCUGCCUGGCUCUGGUUCUUCUGCUUUUCUGGCUCAAUCUCAACCCCAGCUCAUUACAGAGGCUCCUUGUGGUCCCCUCCUGCCAAGGACAAGCAGCCCUCUGUGAAAAACAGACCAACGGUGCCAGGGCAGGUGGUGGUUGUCAGAGCCUCUUGCUUACCUGCAGGAGGUGCAGAACAGUCAGUGCAGCUGUUUGGCCAGUGCAGACCCUGCCUGACACCUGACCAGGAGGGCAAGACAGUACCAAACAUCCAAGUGCAGACCAGGAGCCUGCAGCACCGCUCAUGUACAAGUCUUGGCCAGACUGACGGGGUUUAGGAUGCGAGUUCAAGUCCCAGUAUCCCCUCCCUUGUGCGUGCUUAGGAAACCAGCGCACGCCCCUCCUUUGUGAGGAGCCCGCCUGUCAGUGGUCCCAGAGCGCGAAGAGGGCGGGCGCGUUGAGCGGGGACAGCCAGCAGUGCUCCACCACGCUGUACAGGGCGUAGCCCAGCACCAGCCCAAACAGCACGUCCGUCAUGUUGUGCCUGCCCAGCAUCACCCUGGAGAUGCUGACGAUGAGGGCCCAGAGCACCACGAGGACGCGCAGCGGGACAGCGAGCACCAGGUGCCGCAGGACGAAGCGGCAGACCAGGGCGGCGCGGGUGGCGUGGCCCGAGGGGAAGGAGUACUUGUCCACCGAGAUGGUGACGAACAUGUCCAUCUUGUUGUGGGUGGGCCGUGGCCGCUUCACCAGCCCCUUCACCACGGCCACCAUCACCAGGUCCAGCAGCAAUGCUAGGAGAGACAGGAGCAGUGGGUUACUGAAAGCACAGCUGUUACCUAUGAAAGCACUUGGCUUCUCGGACCUGCUAAGAGAAGGCAUUGUUUCCCAUGGCUGCAACACCCAGGCAGGGAGAGCACAGCACUCGUCUGCACUUGGCCUUCUGCAGCGUGACCACGUCCUCAACCUCUGCUCCCUCGUGCACCACCAGACCAUCUGCCUGCCACAGCCCAACAGGGCUCUGCCAGGGCUUUUGUGUAAAAUCUGAUCUCACUGUGACUCUGGGCUCAACCUGUCCCAUAACCUGAAGGCAGCAGAGGGACAACUCCCUUCCUGGCAGUGCUGACUCAGCAUUGUUCUGCCUGCCCUGGUGACUGGAGUUCAAACCUACUGGGUGAAUGAUCAACCCGCUCCAAGCACUCAGCCACAGCUCAGUGUGAGGGGCUCUGAGCUGGUGUGGUGCCAAGGGUCCUGAAGCCUGGCUUCUCCCUGCUGCUGGAGGGAAAGCUAACUGUGCUUUGGUUUUCAAGAGAUGACUAAAGGAUGAUUUAUGUAACAGUGGCUUGCCCCUGAGAAGUAAAGGCUGUUCUGGUAGAAGAUGCAAAGUACCUGUGAGAAGUGUUCACCCAGUACUUGGCAAGAGCAGCUUCUCGUGCAGGUCAGAGGGUGCUUUCUCUACCCCUGUGAGUUCUGCUUAACUCUCACAGCCAGGGCUAUUUCUUCCAGGGAAGUCAUGUAAGAGACCAGCUUCUGCUUGUCCUAAGGCUUGUUUCUGGACAACAAACCUUUUGGUCACUUCAGUUCAUUUCCUUUGGUUAAUCAUUUCAGAAGAAAUAUUUUUUUUCCUACAUGUAAACCUAGAUCAAUGACUUUUUCUCUUUUUACAUAGGAUUUGGGAGAUUCAGCUUGGACACAAGGGAACCCUCCUUCCCCCCACAGGUGCUGCAGUCCUGGCUACAGGGCCCCAGAGAGGUGGGUGGCUCUGGCCCAGAGUAUUGAGGUCUGGACAAGGCUCUGGUACGGGGACAGAUCUCCUUGGAGAAGUUAGGCUGGAGGCCUCCUGGUCCUUUCUCACAGCUCUGCUGUGGGACUGUAAUGUGCUGCCAGAUGAGAAAGAUGCACAAACCUAUGUACUUCCCACCAAGCAAAUUUCAAUUCAGAUUCUAAGUGUGAGAUACUAAUUACCUGCAACUUAAUACAAGAGUAAGAACCUGAAAAGGUCUGGUACUCUGGAGCUACUACAGUUUCUAAAUGAGCAGAAAUGAAGACUCUAUACCUAGGAUACUCUGUGUGUGUGAGUGUGAAAUAUUACACAAUGCAAGAUUAAAAUGCGUGCAUUAAACCAAA